rnacentral:rRNA from 1 species
UACAGAGGGGGCAAGCGUUGUUCGGAAUUACUGGGCGUAAAGGGCGCGUAGGCGGCCUGCUAAGUCGAACGUGAAAUCCCCGGGCUCAACCCGGGAACUGCGUCCGAUACUGGCAGGCUUGAAUCCGGGAGAGGGAUGUGGAAUUCCAGGUGUAGCGGUGAAAUGCGUAGAUAUCUGGAGGAACACCGGUGGCGAAGGCGGCAUCCUGGACCGGCAUUGACGCUGAGGCGCGAAAGCCAGGGGAGCGAACAGG